rnacentral:rRNA from 1 species
AUUGAACGCUGGCGGCAUGCCUUACACAUGCAAGUCGAACGGCAGCACGGGAGCAAUCCUGGUGGCGAGUGGCGAACGGGUGAGUAAUAUAUCGGAACGUGCCCAGUCGUGGGGGAUAACGUAGCGAAAGCUACGCUAAUACCGCAUACGAUCUACGGAUGAAAGCGGGGGAUCGCAAGACCUCGCGCGAUUGGAGCGGCCGAUAUCAGAUUAGGUAGUUGGUGAGGUAAGGGCUCACCAAGCCGACGAUCUGUAGCUGGUCUGAGAGGACGACCAACCACACUGGGUCUGAGACACGGGCCAGACUCCGACGGGAGGCAGCAGUGGGGAAGUUUGGACACUGGGCGCAAGCCUGAUCCAGCAAUGCCGCGUGCAGGAUGAAGGCCUUCGGGUUGUAAACUGCUUUUGUACGGAACGAAACGGCGAACUCUAAUACAGUUUGCUAAUGACGGUACCGUAAGAAUAAGCACCGGCUAACUACGUGCCAGCCGCCGCCGUAA